rnacentral:rRNA from 1 species
AAUGAACGUUGGCGGCGUGGAUUAGGCAUGCAAGUCGUACGCACAGCUUCGGCUGUGAGUGGCGCAAGGGUGAGUAAUGCGAAGGUAACCAACCCUGGAGUUGGGCAUAACCGCGGGAAACUGCGGGUAAUUCCCAGCGAUGUCGCGAGAUGGCAUCAUCUUGCGACCAAAGGUGUGAUUCCGCUCUAGGACGGGCCUUCGUGGUAUUAGGUAGUUGGUGAGGUAACGGCUCACCAAGCCGACGAUGCCUACCGGGUGUGAGAGCAUGACCCGGCACACUGGAACUGAGACACUGUCCAGACACCUACGGGUGGCUGCAGUCGAGAAUCUUCGGCAAUGGGCGAAAGCCUGACCGAGCGACGCCGCGUGAGGGAAGAAGGCCUUCGGGUUGUAAACCGUCUUUCGUAGAGGAGGAAGGGGCCGUGCAGAGCGGUCUUUGACCUAUUCUAGGAAGAAGCUUGGGCUAAGUUCGUGCCAGCAGCCGCGGUAAU